rnacentral:tRNA from 1 species
AGCCUUAUAGUCAAGGGAUGAUAUUAGACUGCAAUUCUGAAGGGGUAGAGGAGAUUUUACUAAGGCUU